rnacentral:rRNA from 1 species
GACGAACGCUGGCGGCGUGCCUAAUACAUGCAAGUCGAACGCAGUGGGGACGGGUGCGUAACACGUGGGUAACCUCCCAUCAGAGGGGAUAACACUUGGAAAAAGGUGCUAAACCGAUACUGAUGGAUGGACCCGCGGGGCAUUAGCUAGUUGGUGAGGUAACGGCUCACCAAGGCCACGAUGCAUCGCCGACCUGGGAGGGUGAUCGUGCAAACUGGGAACGAGACACGGCCCAGACUCCUACGGUGGGCAGCAGUAGGGAAUCUUCGGCAUUGGACGAAAGUCUGACCGAGCAACGCCGCGUGUGUGAAGAAGGUUUUCGGAUCGUAAAACUCUGUUGUUAGAGAAGCGGUAUCUAACCAGAAAGCCACGGCUAACUACGUGCCAGCCGCCGCGGUAAUAC